rnacentral:rRNA from 1 species
GAUGAACGCUGGCGGCGUGCCUAAUACAUGCAAGUCGAGCGAACGGACGAGAAGCUUGCUUCUCUGAUGUUAGCGGCGGACGGGUGAGUAACACGUGGAUAACCUACCUAUAAGACUGGGAUAACUUCGGGAAACCGGAGCUAAUACCGGAUAAUAUUUUGAACCGCAUGGUUCAAAAGUGAAAGACGGUCUUGCUGUCACUUAUAGAUGUAUCCGCGCUGCAUUAGCUAGUUGGUAUGGUAACGGCUUACCAAGGCAACUAUGCAUAGCCGACCUGAGAGGGGGAUCGGCCACACGGGAACUGAGACACGGUCCAGACUCCUACGGGAGGCAGCAGUAGGGAAUGUGCCGCAAUGGGCGAAAGCCUGACGGAGCAACGCCGCGUGAGUGAUGAAGGUCUUCGGAGCGUAAAACUCUGUUAUUAGGGAAGAACAUAUGUGUAAGUAACUGUGGACAUCGUGACGGUACCUAAUCAGAAAGCAACGGCUAACUACGUG